AUAGAGGCAAUGAUAAAGAGGAGUAAAAUUGUGAAAUAUGCAGAGAGGAAGAUUGGGUGCGCUGAAAGGUCUUCUAUAGGAAACAGUUUGAAGGUAGCUUUGGAGCUUUCUCACUGAAAUUAUUAGUAAGUGAGAACGGUGAACAUCGUUAAAAUAUGGAGAGUUUGAUUUAUAUCAAAAAUUAAGGUGGUAACGCGCGCUGUCGUCCUUUGC
rnacentral:ncRNA from 1 species